rnacentral:misc_RNA from 1 species
AUAUAUAUAUAUAUAUAUAUAAACUACCCUCAUAUAAAUUACUUUUAGUGUGGAUUUCCUCCAGUAGAUGACUAGUUCUCAAGUUCUGAGAAACCAGUCUGUAAGUGAAACUGUACACCUAACUAAUGGCCUCUACUCCCUGAUCCAAUAUCCAAGUUAUUGUGUGAGCGUAACUUCAUAUAUACAUAUAACACGGUGCAAAGGCAUCAUUUUUGCACACCCAUACCGGCAGUCCACAAGCCCAUAAACCAAGUGUCUUAGUCAGGUUUACGAAUUUGGCUUCAAAAUUUGAACAGCCUUUGUUUGAUAGAUUUAGAUUCCUUGCAAAGGAAUGCAACCUUUUAAUACUCAUCCUCCCGAAUCUUUUCUUUUCUUGCCUGAUCUGCUUUGUGGUUUGACAUUUUCAAUUGAAUCCAAAUUAGAAGUCCUUAGAAUUGGCUUGCUGCUUGGCUUUGAAUUGCUUGCCAGAUCUGUAUGAGGUGAAGAAUCAUUGUCCGAUUUGCUACCAACUUCUGCUUUUUCUUUAGGAGAGGGGAGAAAAGGUUUUUCAUAGAUAAUGGCAGCAUCCAAGCUGUGUAUUCUAAGGGCAAGAGAAGAGAUGGUAGCUAUUUGUGCUGCAGUAUAAAGUGAUGACCAAUACCACCAUUCAUUUCUCAAGUAGUCAGACUUGAUCAUGUUUUCAAAUACAAUUGUUGCUUGAACCAUCUCAAAUAUUGAUUUGGUAGAUUUGACAAAUGCUCGCCAGGCACAUCGUUUUUCCAAAUAAGCCUUUGAUGACUUUAGUGCUCCUUCGGGGAGGGCAGCAUCCAUAUCAAGCAAGUUGAUCUUGAGCUGCCUAAGAAUUUGAGCCCCCUUCCCCACAAGGGGUCUUAAAGAAGAAUCAUGAAUUUUAGAUGAAGUGUUCCUCCAUUUUGAACAGCUACUUCGCAAAGAGUAUUGAUCUCUCUUGUCAUUCUUCAAAUUUGAUUUUCCAAUUUCUUGUAAUUCCUUAUAAAUUUCACCUGUUGUGCAACUCUUAAUUGAUUUAAUGGAAUUAAGAUGUUUCUUGCUGGUCAACAUGUUGCCGUUCAUGGCUAGCUGUGACUGAUUUUCCACACUUGUGGACCUAUCACUCUGACUAACCUCAUUUUUCCAGGGAAGUACUAACUUCAAUGUGGGGUCACUGAGAUAAGGAGAUCCACAUGCUACAAAUGAUGGAAUGCCGUUUGAACCAAGAAGUCCUAUUUCCUUCACCAGUUCCUUAAUAGAGCUCCUAGUAACAAACUUGGUACUUAUCUCUUCAAGAUUGUAAGGUGAUAAAAAGUCCUUUGGAUAUCUUACCAUCCCAAACUCAAUCUCAUGCCCCACACUACUGGACUUGCAUUUUCUCGUUUUGUCAGAGCACUCUCCCUGUUCCAUCUUCAUCAAUGCCUUCCCCUUUGAGACAUCAUCAAUUUUGCCAUUCUGAGAGGCACGCACAACAGAACUGCACUUUCCAUCAUUAUGCUCUUUGAGUUCAUAUUUAGAGGAAAAUGACCAGUGGCAAUAUUGACAAUGGUGCCUAGAAGGCCAUAUAGGCUCUAGGCAUUCACAUCGGCACAUUCUUUUGUCAUAAGUUACUUCUGCAGUCUGACUCUUCUUCACUGAAAUGUUGGCGACAUCCGGUUCCAAGCAAGGACCAUACUUCUUCUCCAGUGCAAUUAAUGCUUUAGUCUCAAGAGCAUUAGAUUUCACAGUUUUUUCAACAUUCACAGGUAUUAGAGUCGGUUGAUGCAUCUCUUGAACAUUAUCACCCGUUUUAUUGGAGUUAUUAUAUCCAAAUUUCAACCGCUGCAAAAGAGAAUCUAUCAACUCUCUCUGCAUUGGGUCACUAUGCCUCAACCAUUGAAUAAGUUCUUCAAUUUCAACAUCAGAUUUAUAUGAAAGCCAUUGAAAAGACACUGGAGUGCCAUUAGUCAUAUCACUAAAAUAUGGACCAAUAACAUUUGAUCCUUUGAACUUCAAUGCAUCAUCUGUUCCAACUGGAGGAGACUUGGGAGUUAGAUUGUUAAACAACAGUUCCCCAUGCUCUUCAACAAUGCUCUUUUGCUGCAUUGCUACAGUCCCAUCAACAACCACCCAUGAAGAUGAAGCUGGCCUGAAAAAGGCCCAGUACAGUCGUCCAGCGGAGUCCCUCCCUAAAAAAUCCUUCCUGAGAGAUACCUUCUGUAAUUGCAAGUCUAGACAGGCAAUUGAAUCCUGCAAGACAGAAAUCCUAUUCUUGAUAGAGAUUGCCUCAAGGUUCCAGGCCUGUAACUCAUUCAGAUCAGGUUGGUUUGCUUGAUGUUCAGAAUCAGGAACCUUAAUAAACUGACUUCCACAACAGGCAGAGUGUUGCUCGGGAAUACCUUUUGGGUGAAAGCAGCAUGGUUGCAUCGUAAAAUCAUUUGUCCUGUGAAACUGUGGACCAUCCUCCAAAUAUAGCAGAUCAAUGGAGGGGUUUGAACAUGAACUGUGUCUAUUAAAAGACUGCCCCAUCAAUUUAUCGUAGUUUGGGAGCACAGUAGCCAUCCGUUCCAUUCCAGAUUUUCCAACACCAUCAAGCACACUUGUAUUUGCUUUUGAAACUUUUUCAACAAGGACUUCUUCUCUAGACUUUAGGUUCCUCCAUUCUGCUGAUAGCAAAUGCAGUUUCUGCUGCAAAUCAGCAGAUGCUGAUGCACACUGAUCUAGGUGUUCCCGAAUAUUAGUAGAGUUCAGCACCUCAGCACUCAAAAACUUGAGAAGAAAAAUUCUCUCCUCCACGCUGUACUCCCAAUAAUCCUUCACUUCCAUAGUUUUACCUAAAUGUGCAAGGGCCUCUAGAAUACCACGAGUGAGCUCUCCUUGACAUCUUUUUUUCGGGUAUUGGCAAAUGAACUGAGGAACCUGUGAAGCACCCUGAGUGAUGCGAUGUCCAGGGACACAUGAAGGACAAUACCAAUUUCCUUCAGGUAUUCUUGCAAGAGGAGGAUUUAAGCAAUAUGUGUGAUACCCAGAAUCACAUUUAUCACACAAUAAAACAUUGUCAUCGUCUUUAUCUACACCACAAACUUUACAGACACCUUCAUCCCAAGGAGCUUUGGGAAUCUCACUUGCAUGCUCAAGAAGACCCUCCAAUUCUUUCUUCGCUUCAGAACUUAAGCAUUCCACAGCAGCAUAGCCUGUAAGUUUCUGGACUAGUGUGAGGACCUCUUUUUCAUAAAGUGCCUCAAAAUUUUGAGAGAGUGUUUCAGCCAAAUGGAUCAAAUCAGACUGAUCAGCAUAUGCUGUACGUAUAUGAUGCCAAACCUCCCGAACAUCCUCUAGGAAAGCUUCAUGUGAUCCUCCAUAGGCCCCAAAAGCCAAUCUCAGAUCAAUGGUUCUGAAGUCCAAGGGACGAGGUACCAUUGUAGGGAAUCCAAGCAGUCCCUCAUCAUCAUUAUCAGAAGUGUUAAGAAGGGUUCUUCCAAGCAAAUUACAGAAAACUUUUUCUUCAUCAGCAGCAACAGCACAGCGAAGCACUUUUCGACAUUGUUUCAUUAUCACUUCAGAAAAAGUACAAAUAUACUUGUUUUUUCUCUUCCUAUUAGGUUUCUGCUGCAGAUCUUCGCCACACACAUUUGCCAACACUGAUAGAACAGCUUUCUUGGUAGGUCCUGAAGCAUUUCCCUUGUAGACUUCCUUACUGAUUGAAUGUUCCAAAAUCUUUGUUGCCCAUUCCGGUGGAUUUAGAGCCAAAGCAUCAUAAAUACACCUUCGAAUCCUUGCUCCCACAUUUGUGGGUAGCUUUCUUACAGGUUCUAGAACUCUUGCCCACUCAGGAACUUCACCAUUGUUAACUUUAACUUCUUUGCUAGAACUGGGUGCAACAGAGUCGAUGGAUUCCACAUUUAAAUUGUCACUGAUAUUCUUUGAUGUGCCAAAGAUAUGCUUUGUAGCCUCUGCAAGCAGCAGUGCAUCUGCUUCAAUUACAGCCACUCCUGGAAGAGAACCAUGAAGAGCCCCGCUAUCACCUUGUAAACAAUGAAACACUUUGCAACUUUCACGGCUUACAACCUCCAGAUAAUCAAGAUUACCCUCCACGGAUAAGACUGUUAAUAAAUAUCUUCGAGCCAGUUCAGGCCAUGUAAGUUCAUUGAUUGGGAGUAAAUCAAGCAUUGAUUUCCUAGCAAAACUAAAGUUAUCUGUUUCUUUCUUCCUUCUCUUUCUCAACUUAGACUCUCCACUUUCAAUAGUAGGAUCUACAAUAAAAGCCAGCUUGGACUCUAGCUCGGCUAAUAGUACUUUCAGCAGUGCGCUAUGAGCCUUAGACAAAGCUUUGCCAAUGCAACUGCUAAGGGUAUCAGAUGCUUGUCUCCUAUUGGCACCUUCUCCUGAAGUUUCUGUUUCUGCUGUGAUUAAUGCAUGUUGCCCUUUUGCAGUAACUGUUGAAGUAGAAAUACUCCUAUGAGUAGAGGAAUAACAGUCUACAAGUUCCUCUUCAAGUUCCGAAAAUAAUAAAGGUUUAUCCAGUCCCAAAACUUCUGAGAAGCGCCAUAGUAACUCCCAUGACUGAAGAACAUCACCAACUAAAACUGUAGGAAGCUUUGAGCUCAAUGGCUUGCCAGGGGGACAGAAUUCCUUCAGUAAUUGCUUCUUGUGGUUUUUACAUCCCUUCAAAAUAUUAUACGUUUCUUUCUCACUUUGGACAUCAUCUUUCCUCUUAGCCAGAAGAAAUCCAUUUCCAACAGUUUGUAAUUUUGAUUUUUCACUUCUCUUAUUCAGGAAUGUAUACUCUGAACAGGAAUGAACCCCAGGAAGCAGCUCUAUUAUUUCUUGUACAAAAUCAACAUCCAGUCCAAAUCUGUCCUGGCCUAUCCACUUCAAUAGAGCUUCACAACUAGUAGUAAGCUCAUCAUUGCUUUCAACAUGAAGUGGAAUGCAUAAAGGGUAAGACAUGUGACCAAACUUGGCUAAAGCAUCAGUUGAUUCAAUAGCUUCCACCGUCUUAUGGAUUAUGCCAGAUGACCACCAUUCAUACACAUGCCUGCAAAAAAAUUUACAUACACCGGUCUGUUUGUACACUUCACAACAAGACUGCACCAGCUUCUCAGACACCAUUCUCCAUACUGAAGAAGAUGAUCUCCCUUGCACUAGGAAUUCACCAAUAUCAUCACCUGGUCUUCUAUUACUGAUUGCAGGUUUCCCAAUACCUUGCGGGACAUGAUAUGAAUUUGAUUGCAAACCAUCUAUUCCUUGCAAAUUAGAGACUUCAUCUAAUGAAGUUGCAACACCUGUUAAAAUAUUAAAAUCCAGAUGCGGAGGACUAUGGUCUGAGAAUAUCAUCUGAACACUUAUAUCCUCAUGAUCAUCAAUGUCAAAAGCAUUAUCAGUUUUAUUAUUAUUGCUGCCCAGGCCUGUCCUAGACAGGACUGUUGACCCAAUAGGGAUGGGCUGACUGCAACAUGGAUAUCUUUGAACCUUGAAAACUGGACCACAAUCACCACCAUCUGAAAUAUCACAUACAAAAAGAGAUCCAGUAAUCCUGUCAUGCCAACUGGAUCUAUAACCUACAGGCCAGAUCUGGCUACUGCAGUGAUAGGAAGGUCUCGGAUCAACCUCCCCCACAGAAAGAAUAGAAAAGUCUUCAAACUGGACUGGAAACCCAUCCUUGUAAUGAGAAGAGCCAUAAACACCAGCUGGCUCUGAGUUGGCAUGUGCAGCUCUUAUAUUACUCCUUAACUUGCACGCCUCAGCAUCCAUGAACUCUAUGCCUGAUGAAAACUUGCUAGCAAAACUGCUUUUCAAAUUUUCUUGAUAUUCUUUCAAGUCCUUGCUUCUUGAAAAUAUCAACGAUUCCUUUCUUCUUCUGUGCAAAUGUAACCUGUUCCGUGCUAAAGAAAAUCCAUCAUUUCUGUCCUGAGGCACCAAAGAAUGGCAAUUUGACACCAAGCCAAGAUGACAGGCAACAUCAAACAUUGACUCAAACUUAUUUCCAUCUGGCGAACAAUAAACUGCAAAGGUUUUGCAUCUGUUUUGACAAUAAAAAAAUUCAACACGCCAACCAUCUUCCAGUAUGCCAUGGUUAUCAAAAAUGAAUUCUCUUAAAUUCUGCAAAAACUUUUCACUCUGAUUCUGGAAUAAUACUGUAUUUGCAGAAUAAUCACUUGUCCAAUGUUGUCUUCCUAUAAAGACAGAGUGUGGAUCUAUUUCCCUCAUAGUUCUAACAAAGUUCAUUCUCUGCUGUACAAUAUCUACAGGACCUGAUUUGAUAACAGUUGUCACAUUGCCAGGUAUCUUCACAUUAUCACAUUGAUUCCCCACAAAUAACAAGUUAGAACAUGUCACUGGGGCAUUAUUUGAGUUGCCAAUAGAAGAAGCAUCAGGCACAGAGUGCAUUCCAGAAUUCACCAAUUCACCGUUUCCUUCUCCCUCAGCCUCGCUUGGCAACGCAUUGAUGUCCAAAAACACGAGUUUACUUUUAGCAUCUCUAACAUCCUCGCCCUUCGCCGGCGUUGGAACAACGUCAUCUCCGGUGACAGCGACGACUAUAUCACGAGGAGAAGAGAGAGGUGUCUCGUUAAGAUCGAUAUCAAACGGCAAGGAACGGCUCUCCCCGGACUUCCCAUCAGAAUCGUUCAGCUCCAUAUUCAGAGUUAAACCACUACCAAAGAUCCCGACACCGAGUUCGAACUCAACAGCUUCAGAUUCCUUGUCCUUUCAAGCAUUAUAGUCCAAACGACGCGGGAAAUUCGAGGAAAAAAUCUAGAGAUCGAGGUCAAAGGGGUUAGCGACGGCGUUGGAGGUAAAAUGCGAAAGCGAGCGAAAAAAGAGAGGGAUAUGCGACGGCGAAAUGACCAAAGAGGACAGUGGAAGAAGGGGAGGAGCUGGAUUCUGUUUCUGUGUGUUUAGAAUCGAAGCUGAAAGACAAUGGUAGGUUGUUCUCGGGAGUCG